UUUUCUAUUGUUUGGCAUGUAUUGGAUGGUUUUAGGUGGAUUUUAUGAAGAAACAUAAUACUUGAAAUUAUGUAUGUGAUGAUGUGAAUUGGUGAAUUUGAUGAAUAACAUGAAUUGGCUUAUUUGCUUUAUGUUAAUAUGUUGUGAUGAGAUGAUGAAUGUUAUUUGAUGUAUUGUUUGGUAUUGAAGUCAUGUUAGGUGUAUAUUGUGCAAAUC
rnacentral:lncRNA from 1 species